CUGCCAGUUCCUUGUGUGGCAGGUAACAGAGGGUUCGUAUCUACUUUCUGAAAGGCACUCAAUGCACGUAACUGACAUGAGGCAGAUCAGGCAACAGAGGGCACACAGACAGCAGAGCUGGGGACAGGUGGGCAGGUACUGACUGGCAGAGACAGGGAGUCUCAGGGUUCAUGCCAGGAUUUUUUUCGAGACCUGAUAUUGAAGAACAUUCAACAUGAGGCCUAUGUUUUUCAUCUGCACUGGAUAUUUGUUUUUAUUUGAUUGAUUUUCUCUCUACUAAAUGCGAAGGAAUUACAUGUAUUUCAAAUAUGUAUUUUGUAUGUUUUAUUAUACUGGGCUGAACUACACUGUAAUCUAUUUUGUAACCAGAUACUUUCUAAAGCUGUAAUAUGUAUUUUCAAAAUACAAUUUGUUUUUGGUACAUAUUUGUAUCUUUAUUUAUUUUUAUUAUAACUGGUUUGGCAUGUAUUUGUUUUGUGAGGGCUGUUUACCAGGUUUAUUUGCCAUUGAGUAGUAUGCUUUCUUUUGAGUUUAACCUAUAGUUGUUGGUGCUCUUCAAAAGGUUAAGAUCACAUUCCUGCUUAAAUUCAGACAUUUUAUUUUUUGAUGGGCUUUUUCUAAAAUAGUGAUUUAUUUUUCUUUCAUUUCUAACUCCGAUGUACAGUAACUUUUGACGAGUAUGAGAUUAUCAUUCCCCUAAUGUACACCUUAAAUGCAUCUGAAAUUAUAUUAGGGUUAGGCUUUUCCCAUCCUCUAUGUCUACAUUUGUAAUGGCAAUUUUAUUUUUAUUUUUUUCAUUUACUUAUUUAAUACAUUUCGGGUCUUGAACAUGUGCUCUGUUCAUUCUCCAUAUUCUGUCAAUAAGUGUAUUUUCUGUUGGUGUAAUUAAACAUGAUAGAAGAUCAGAGAAUGAUCAAUAUUAUUGUCAUGUUUAACCCAGUAAAUUGUUUAGGGUAUUUUUGGAAAUAAAAUAAAUGUAAUCAAUUCUUUAAUAGAUUUUCUUACUUUGAGAAAAAAGGACUAGUCUUUUGUAGUUGGGAACAGUAAUCUCCAGGUGUACUGGAAAUGAUUUGUAGAGCUGAAAUUUUGCAGCCUCUUUGAAGGUUCCUUGAAUUUGUCUUUUUUUAUUGCUAUGUCUGUCAAUCGUAUCAAAUGUAUGAUUUAGGUCGCAUGCUAAAAAUAAUAGUUCCUGUCUGGAUUUGAUCUAAUAUUGCUUGAAUUAUAUCGAAAAAACCAUCAGAUUUGCCCCUGGUGGGACAUACCAUGAAAACAGUGUUUAUUUUCUUGCCAUGUAUUCAACAUGAGAAAACGGCCUUCUUGGUCCGUGUGCUGGAAAAGGGUGUAUUCUUAUUCAUUUGGAUGCCUACACCUCUGCUGUUACUACAGUUGGUGGCAGCAUAGUCCUCUCCAACCCAGCUCCUCUUU